ACACAGAUACGGGAGAGAUUCUUAAGCCAUAAAAAAUAUAUAUAUAGAAAAUAAGAAGUGUUAUUUAAAUUAAUAAGAUUCAUUUAUUUUUGUAAGCCUUUUAAAACCGGAAAUGAAAGCUCUGUACUAACAUUCGACUUUGCGAGGUCUUGCUGUACAGUAUGCAUAUAUUUUUUCUGCUCGAAGACCCACUGUCUUGGAAGAUACAUUUUCCGAGCGACCUUUCGCGCUGUUUUCGUAAUGAAAAGGCAAUUCAAUGGCCUUUGGCUGUUGCUGGCGCCGACACUAACGGUAAACGGGGAACGAUGGCUGACUUCCGGUUUGGCUUUAAUCGUCUGCUGCCGUCGUAAAUGGCAGCAAAAUCCGAGCAGCGAACAAUAAAAGAGAAAUUAGCAUAACACAUGAGACAACGACAACGCUCGUUGGAGGCCCCCUUGCGGAACCACUUUCCCCCCGAUUUGGCCAUGUUCUUUAUGUGUGAUUUUAAUGGGCUCGUGGGUGUCUGGGCCAUGGUCGCUUUUCUAUUUCAAUUGCCGACACGUGUACGCCGCGUAAAACAAAAGGAACACGACCAUAAAGGCAUCACGCACAUGUCUGGCCAUUUGCAUUUUUCCCGCCCUUAAAUUUCUGCACCCAAAGUGCCAUUUAAUUGCCAUCAAGUGUAGGGGCGUGGCCACUCUCUUGCGUCAAUGCAAGAAUUCCAUAAACGUGGUCGUUAUUAUGUGGGCUGACCACCCUAUCAAGACGCCCGUUAAAUAAAAGUGCGUAAUCAAAUCUAACGCGUAUAGCCCGAACAACACGCGUACUUCAACUGAUUAGAAAUAGACGAAAAUAAACUGUACCGAAAUAGUCUAAACAUCAAAAACAAUACCAUCUUGCCGUCUACAAAUGUAUUGUUAUAUUUUUUAUAGAUAAUGGCAUUUUAAAUGACAAGUUUAUUAGCUUACCUAAAGUAUUAAAAUAAUUGUGCUACUUACUCCAAAAAUAGCUUUGUCGUGUUAAAAAUAAACCAUAAUAUUGCUGGCUAACCCCACUUCAAAAACCGCAGAUUGUAAUUCAAUUCUGCGGUUAAUAAUCGUGGUGUGAAUAGAUUUAUUUGUCAACACUUUUACGUUCAGUGUAAGCUAUUGAACUUGCCAAAAAUAACACAUAUUUGUUUUGUUUUUGUCUGGGAAUUUCUAAGGAACACAAUUACUCGGCGGAAAAGCGGUUAUCAAUUGAUACGGCGGUCAGCAAUGAGAUGUUUUAUUUUUAGGCAUUUCAGAGAAUCGAAUUUGCAAAUGCCUUGACCUUGACUUUUGUUGUUUCCCCACACAUGCCCAAUGUCAAGGCCUCUUCGAUACAAACGCGAAAAGUCGCCGAAAAUACGCCUUCGCUGCUCUAAAUGAAGGGUGGGAAAUGGUGAACACAAAAGGCAGCCACGCGCCUUUCUAUGGGGAGCAAUACGUAGAAACACAAGCCGAUGGCCCCCAGCGGAUCAACAUACAAAAAUACAUAUAAUACCCACUGAUACCGACAAUUUGAUAACAUUUUGGCAGCGAAAACAAAGUACGCACCUGUCGCAGAACACCUGGCAGCAAAACAGGUUAUUAGGAAUAUUAAAUUAUAUUUUCAUUCAUAUUUUUAGUUAACUGAAAUAUUGUCCAGCUACAGCCACAAGCUAAUUAUCUGUAAUUGCAAAACAAUGAGUGUGCAACCGGAAACCACUUUUCAUUUGUGUACACAUAUUUAUUAUUUGGGGACAAAUGUUAUGUACGAGUAAAUUUAUAUUUUUAUUAUUUUUUAUAACUUUAUAUUUGUAAAGCACUGUUUUAUUACUUAUUUAUGAUUAACUGUAUACAAAAUUAAAAGGCCGCAAAUGCGUCAAACGAACGCAUAUAAAUAAAAAUCUAAACAGCUCUUAAUAAAA